GCCAGCAUGGCUCAAUGGUUAGAGUGUCAGCCUGGACACCCGAGGGUCGAGGGUUCGAUUCCCAGUUGAGGGCA
rnacentral:tRNA from 1 species